UUUUUUUUUUUUUUUUUUGAUAAUUUAUUCUCCUAUUUUUCUUCUUUCUCGCCAUGAAACAAAUGUAUCGGUAUAUUCAAUGCCAGGAAUGAUUAUCGAUUAUCGAUCACACGGUACAUUUGCUUGAUCGAUCAAAUUCACACGUUGCACUUCUUUAGUCGUAGCAUUCCUGGAGCACUUCAGUGUAUAAAAAUUCCUGAAACGAAACCGAGUUUGGCAUUGAAAGUAUCUAUAAUUCUUAAGUAGAUCUAGUUUAUUACCUUUUUUGUAAAUUAUUCUACAAAAUUUUUAUACGUUAGUAUAAUAUUUGAUGAAUAACUUAUUAUUAAUGUGAAUAUAUAAUUUAUUAUUACUAGUUUUUGAAUUGUGAUAAUAUAAAGAAAUUUUAUUUAAAGCAUCCAAAUGCACAAUACAAAAUCUCAGACCCAGCAAAGGAAGCCCAGGCUCACUAAAUCUAAAACAGGGUUUUCCUAUUGGGUUUUCUUUACAUGGGUCUAAGCUACCUAACCUGCUGGAUUGGGGCUAUGGGUAACUUAAAUUAGAUUUACCCGAUUUUCACUUGCUCCGACGAAGCUGAACCAAGCUUGCAGAGACAGAGUGGCAGUGGCUUGGCUGAUACGGCCUCGUAGCCAAUGGCCACUACUGCUCUCCCCGGCAUUUCACCAUCUUCUCAUCGUAUCGCUUUCGCAGCGGUGCACUACUCUAGUUGUAGUAGACAUUAUCGAUCUUAUCGGAUUCCGAUGUGAAGAAGAGCCGCAACCAGAAGAAGCGAGAGGCCAGGCGCGCCGUCCGUUGGCGUGUGGAGCUGGCUUCCUUCUCCGCCCCUCAAAUCAGACGCAUUCUCAGGUAAUGCUUCAACUGUAUUUUUUUUCUCUGAAAUUCCUCCAUUUUUAAGCCAAUUAUGAACUGAAAUACCCCUUCAAGAUUGGUUUCUUGUAUGUGUGUAGCUUUCUUAACCUGUUUUGCACGAUUUUAGAGCGGCGUCCCUUGAGCGAGAAGUGCACGAUGCUUUAAUGCUAGUUAAGGUGCUUCCAUUAUUGGAUAUUGUUUUGUUUUAGUACUGUUCUUCUGUGCUUAUAGAGCAGUAGAAGAAAUUAGUCGAUGUGGUACUUUGUUUAUUAAACACUCGAGGUAAGGUGUUUGUUUUUUGGUCUCAGAGACUAGGACCCGGUGUUCGAGAGGGAAAGCGGAGGCAAUUAUAUUGGUAUUCAAGUCUAUUUCUUCUAAACCAUUAUAUUAAUCAGUAGCUUUUUCAAUCGAACCAGACAACAAGCAGAUCGACAUGAAUGUGAUAUUGCUUUUUAAUCUUAUAGUCGUGGAAAAAAAACCAAUUUUGUUGUUGAAUUUCGACAAGGUAGAUUUCUGUUUGCUAAUUGUUGUUAAAUGUGAUUAAAUACAUUUGUGGAGAAUCUUCGGCUUUUAAGUUUCAAAUGAUAUUUCAUUUGUAAUGGUUUAGGUUUGUAUUCGCCUAAUCUUUUUGUCAAUGUGUUGAUAGGGAAACUACUGCGGGAGGUAAAACCGGAAUUAAUGGAAGCUUUGAUUCUUGCAACAAAAGAUGGUGACUGGAGUAGGCUCCAGGCUAUAUCUGAUAUAGACACGGGAAUUAUUGGGGAUGAUUAUGAAGAAUCUGAAGAAACUGAUUAUGAAGAGGAAGAGGAGGUUUCACAACAGUACAUUGACAUGGCAACGAGAUGGCUUGAUGGCAUAAUCAAUAAGGACUUAAAGAUUACAAAUGAAGUUUAUGCUAUUCGCACUGUUGAUUUUGAUCGUCAGGAACUGCGUAGACUUGUUCGAAGAGUGCAUGCAGUUCAUGAAAGCAGGAAUAUCAAUGAGGAGAAUGAACAGGAAGUAGAAGCGGCAAUAAUGGCUGCCAAAAAGCCCCUAACUCACUUCCUUCGUGGCCUGGCCAAGCAAAUAUCUACUGAAUCUAGUCAUAUUGGUUUGUAACAUAAUUAAUUUUGAUCAAAAUAAUUUAAUACGUGUUAUAAAUGUUGUCUUACAUGGACCAUUAGAAAAAGAGCUUGAUACUAGCAGCUUUAUGGAGGAUAAACCAAAGUGGCAAAUUUACCUUGUGGCUAGUGUUUGGGCCUGGGCUUGGGCUUGCCCUUCCCUUAUUUAGCCAUGGGUGUCACCAUUCCUGGUCUUUGGGGAUAUGACCUCUACAUACAUCAUCUCUUUUCCUGCCAACCCUCGUUCGGGUCGUCGAACCAGUAUUAAAGGUACUUGUUAAAGGAGCAGAAAAAGGCUUAGCAACGAAACCACGGGUAAAGCGGUAUCCAAUUUUUCUGGAUUUGAACUUGAUGGUAGAGGAGAACUUAAGCAGACAUUGGCAGAUCAGUGACUCAAGUAGUGAUGAAAAUCUUGAAUCUAAUUUGCAUGCUGCCACCUACAGGGUCACCUUUUAGGACGUUAUCCUAACAGUAAACGUCUAUGUCCUUUAGUAAGAAACUUUAGCUUCCUGGUCUCUACUUAGUGAUUGUUACGUUUGAUUUCUUCAUUACUUGCGGAUUUCUUGUGGCUCGCAGCCAACUUUUAUUUAUUUAUCAUCAUUCUUUGUGAAAUAUUUAGGGAUAUUGGAGAUUGUAGGGGAUGAGGCAAUAGAUGGUACAGGAUAGUAACGUAUUAUGCAGGUCAAGAUAGAUACCUACUAAAGCAGGUCUGCUGAAUUAUGCAUUACUGCUUCUCAAUAAUGGUGUUACUGCUUCUCAAUAAUGGUGUUUCAAGUCUUCCAAUUAGGGAUCCUUUAGUGUCAGCUGACGUCAUUCCAGAAAGAUUGCUUAAAUAUUGUUAUCACUUCCCUUGAUAGAAACUUAUAUAUAAAUUGAAUGAUGCCCAUCUCUUUCCAUCGUUAGUGAUAAUAUAUGAUUUCAU
rnacentral:misc_RNA from 1 species